GAAAAUUUCAGACAUCCGAGAUAAAAUGCAUGUUUAUUGAACAAUAACGGAUAUACAAACACACGGCAACGCCCCGUACACCUUCCUAACAUCUGUGCCUAUGAGGUCUGACGCUACUAGGUGCGCCCCGGCUGACAUAAUAAAAAAAGCAAUGGCGCUACAACUGCGAAAGUCGG